AUACGUACUGUGCAAACGUUAUUCGGAAUCACUGGGCUUAAAGGGUGCGUAGGCGGUUGAUUAAGUAGGGUGUGAAAGCUCUCGGCCUAACCGAGGAAUUGCGCUCUAAACUGAUCAACUUGAGUGAGAUAGGGGUGUGCGGAACUUCCAGUGGAGCGGUGAAAUGUGUUGAUAUUGGAAGGAACGCCGGUGGCGAAAGCGGCACACUGGGUCUCAACUGACGCUGAGGCACGAAAGCCAGGGUAGCGAACGGGAUUAGAAACCCCAGUAGUCC
rnacentral:rRNA from 1 species